rnacentral:lncRNA from 1 species
UAAGAAAAACAGCAUCUUUGUGUUAUUACAUGUAGGAGCAUACGUGUGUGUAUAUAUCUAUUACAUCUUACUAUAUAAGACAUGUAAAAGGAGAUAGCAGUAGGUUGGUAGGUAGGGAAGGGUAGCUAAAUGAAGCAAGGUAGGCCUAGGCUGUGCCAGUAACGCCCAAGUCUUGGUUGUCAUCGUUGUUGGGAGAGGGAGAGCCAAAGAUAGGGCCACCUUCGCCAGUAGGAUCUUUCACCUUGUCCUCCAGCCUAUCAACCUGAAUGCCACCCUCAUCCUCCUUGGACCUCAGCUCCGUUUUGCUCUUAUUCUCUCCUCC